AGCCAAGAUGGCCGAAUAGGAACAGCUCCGGUCUACAGCUCCCAGCGCGAGCGACGCAGAAGACGGGUGAUUUCUGCAUUUCCAUCUGAGGAUCAUUUUGGCUGUGAUGGAGAUAACAGACUGGAGAAAAACAAGAACUUUCCACAGCCUACAAGAAAAAUUCAAACUACUGAGACUAUCAAUGAAGACACUUUAAAAUAAAGGACAGACCUAGAGACUCUUCAUGUUUACUGAUGUCAGAAUAACCUGCUGUUCAAAUCUCGCUCUGUCACCCAGGCUGGAGUGCAGUGGAGUGAUCCGGGCUCACCGCAACCUUCGCCUCCUGGAUUCAAGUUAUUCUCCUACCUCAGCCUCCCUUGUAGCUGGGACUACAGCCGCGUGCCACCACGCCUGACUAAUUCUUGUAUUUUUUAGUAGAGAGAGGGUUUCACCCCAGGCUGGUCUUGAAGUCCUGACCUCAGGAGAUCCACCCACCUUGGCCUCCUAAAGUUCUGGGAUAGAAAUCACCACAGAAUUCUAUAAAUGGGAAGAAUACAAAGUGAUGCAACAGAAGAUGGGGUUUUGAGAAAUCAGGUCUCAAGUAUAUUUCACAUUUGAAAGAAGAUACUAAAAUCAAAAAUAGUUGCUGUAAGGCAAAACAUGCUGGCUCUUUCAUGUUCAUGAUGACUCAGAUAGUAGAUUAUACUGAACAAAUAGUUGCCAAUUAACUGGCUUUAAAAUUUUGGAUGAGAAACAGUUUCUGAUGAAAUUAAACUGUCACACUGAGAACGAGAUUUUUUUCCAAAAGCAAUGCAAACAUAGGGGACUUUCUGAACGUCUAUGUGCCAAGCAAUAUGCAUUCUGAGGAUGACGGAUGAACCCUGCUACAGUGUCAGGGAGCCUCCAAGUCUCUGACUGAGACAUUACAAAAAGCUGACAGUAAAAGUGUGGUACAUUCAGCUUUAUCUAUGAAGGAAUUGUUAAUAGAGAAAUCAUUACAGCAGCAUAGUGAGGUCUGGUAAGAGUUUACAUCCCCAUCUAAUUCAUUUCUUCUUUGAAGCAUUUUUAAUAUGUAAUAAAAUUUCUCUGAAUCUAGGCUCUCUUCAGAAUUAGCAAAUCUCUUCACAUUUUGUUAUUUAACCUAAAACCUAAAAACUCUUUUUGCUCAUGGAGAUUCAUUAAAUCCAUAUAUUUGGGCCCUAAAUGAUAGACUCACUUUUUUCUUUUCUAUACUACAAAGCCAUAUAAUACAAUGGCUUUCUUGGUUCUCUCCAAGAAAAUGAUAGAGAUGAGUAUUUGGAAUGUUGAAGACUUUCCUUUUAAUAGUUCUGUAUUUUAUUAUCCUAAAAUUCUAAACUCAUAAAAAGUUCCUUUCCUGGGCAAAGUCUGUGUCAUAUUUUAUAUCUGGUCUCAAGAGGCAACAGGCCUGCAAAACUAAUGGUGACUUUCAGAUCUAGCAAGUCUAUCUUUGGUUUGGUGGUCACAUUUACAUACACCCAUACUUAAGCUCUAAAUUGUUUCCCGUGGCAAAAAUGACCUUAUCAUUUCUGAGUUAUAGUGGAAGGAGGGAAUAUCAAAUUUACAGCAUAUUGAAAACAGUUAAUAUAUCCCUCUGAUGAAAAAUUAAAAAAAAAAACCUGCCUCAAAUGAAAACAGUUCAUUCUGCUAACCAAAACACACUACAGCUCAGUAUGAGUGGUGUCUCCUUAUUUUUAUUUUGAAUGAACUAACAGCUUUGGUAAUAAAUUCAGCUUCCCAAGCGCAACAUGCAUCUACAGGCCAGACAUCUUCUGAUUUGUCAAAUCUCUAUUUAACAUAUCCAUGUUUACAACCCUUGGGCCCUUUGGAUCCCACUCAGGUGGAACUAAAUCCAUCAGCUCCCCCAUCCAAAUCAGGUAUUCCUUCAGGGCUCUCUAUUCCAGUAUAGACCAAUACCAAAUGACCUGGCAUUCCAGAACAGAAACUCGUGCCUCAUUCAUGUCUCCUCCUUUUUCAACCCCCAAAUUCUGUCAGUCUUUAAAUGUUGGCUAUUUCAUACCCCAAAUUGCUCUCUAAUUUAUCUAUUUCUCUUCACACCUGUUACACAUCCCUAUUCUAAGCCACCAUCAUAUAUCACACCUGGAUUAAUGCAAUAGCUUCUUAACUGAUCUUCCAUGAUUCCUUCUGCUUCUUCAAUCUAUUAUCUCCCAAUAACUAUCUACUUAUCAGCAAUCUUUCUAAAAUACCAAUCUCAUGAUGCAAUGCCCCUAUUAAAAAUGUUUUGGUUGUUCUCCAAUUAUUUUAGCAUCACUUUCAAACUUGUCUCACAAUCUGGUUUCUGUUUAUUCCUCUAAAAUCAAUAAGCCCACUCCUAUGAGCCCCUACUUGCCCUAUUAGUUUCAGAUAUUCUGAACUUUAAGUUCUUCAAGAUUCUACAUUCUCUGUUCAUGCGGGGGUCCUUGUAAAGAUAGUUCCUGCCAGGGUAUGCUCUUCUCCCUCACUCCACUCACCUGCCUAACUCCUGCUUCUCCUUCAGGCAUCUACAUAGAUUUCACUUCCUCUAGGAGAGAUUACUUACCUCCAAAACCUGAAGUAUUCAGCCCUUCUUAACAUAUAUUUCCUAUGACAGCAUUUCUUUUCAUCUUACCAAAAAUCUUUCUCCCUUUUGUAUGAUCUGUGCCUGUGACACAAUAAACUCCUAAAAAAAAAUUCAAGGGUAAUUAACCGAUGUUAAACAAUGAUUAUCAGGUCAAUAAUCUUCAGAUACAAAGGACAAUAUUCUCUCUCUCAUUUUUUUAAAGAAAACCUUAUUACAGGAUACUUGUAGAAUGUUUCCUAUUAAAUUUGCCCACUAAUCCAAAGCUGAAGACAGAGAUAAACCACUUCCUAUUUAAUGACAGUCAUAAAUAUCUAGGGCCAGACAAUUCCCUCAGGGCUUUUUAAGAUGUGGCUGAAAAAGCUCUCCUACUUACAGCCUUCAUCCAAGCCUGGCCCACUUAUUAAGUCCAUAAUGAAAAAACUGGAGAGAAAAAAGAGUGAAUCAUGGAGUCAUGUGUCCUCUGUCUGGGCUGACAGGGUGGGGAAAGGAGGUGGACGAGGGGCUUACCCUAACCACAGGUAAAUGGAUAGAUGCCAAUAGAAUCUCUCAUAAAAAUGACAGUAUGUGCAAGAAAGGGAAACUUACUAUCUCAGUCCUUGACUGCACACACAUUUACACAAUACUCCUUAUUAAUUAUCCUUCUAUUUAUCCAAAAAUGAGAAAAAAGAAAUUAGAGACCAACAGGUAAUGAAGGAUGGAUGGGUGAGGGCACAGCCCACACUCCCUCCUUAUGGCAUUACAAUGGUGUGAGAGUCCCAUGGAUUAAGGGACACUGCAGAGGAAGCUGGCUUGUACCCUAAAAAAGUUAUCCAGUCAUGCCAAGCAACUGCAGCAGAAAGAGGCAAUGAAGUGUGAUUCUGGUGGCAACAGUGGAGGAAGAUGGGGUAAAAAAAGUCAUGCCAUCACUAGAUGUCUCACAUUAGGGAAUGGAUGCUGCCCAGGAGGCCCCCCAGUUGGGGCCACCCUCCAGGGAGGGGGCUGGAGUCAUGGCCACUGGGAGACUGAACACGAACAUGGCUGCCCUACUUUAAGAGGUCCUCUAAGAAGGUGGAAUAAAAGCAAGCAUGAUCUAUAUGGGAAACACCACAUCACUAAGGCCACCAGAAGCAAGAACUAGACCAAGCCGGACCAGAUUAUAAAAUGUCUCUCAUUGCUGCCUUCUCUCCCCAUAUCCCUCCGUUUCCACCUAAUGGAAGGAGGAGAAGGAAGUGACCUGGCGGACAAUAAUCUCUCAACCCCAAAAAGCACACCCCAAGAUGAGAAACAGAAAGCUGAAUCUGAAAAAACAGAAUUUAUAUUCCCUCCCCUGAGCUAUGUGGAAAAGCUUAAAGUUGGAUAUGAGGCUUGUGAUGGUUAAAUUUAGGUGUCAACUUGACUGGCUUCAGGAAUAUGCAGACAGCUGGUAAAAACAUUUUUCUGGGUAUAGCUAUAGGGGUGUUUCCAUGAAAGACUGACAUUUGAAUCAGUGGACUGAGAAGGAAGAUCCGCACUUAUCCAAUGUAGGCAGGCACCAUCCAAUCAGCUGAAGGCCCAGACAGAACCAAAAGGCAGAGGAAAGGUAAAUUUGCUCUGUCUUCUGAAACUUGGGCACCCUUCUUCUCCUGCUCCCAGACAUCAGCACUCCAGGUUCUCUGGCCUUUGGAACUUGUACCCAAAACCCCCAAAUUCCCUGGUUCUUGGGCUUUUGGCCUUGGACUGAGAGUUAUACCAUUAAUUUAUCUGGUUCUCCAGCUUACAGACAGCCUACUAUGAGACUUCAUAGCCUCCAUCAUCACAUGAGCCAAUUCCCCUAAUAAAGUCUCCUCUCCUAUAUUGUAUCCUAUUGGUUUUGAUUCUUUAGAGAGCCCUAAUGCAAACCUGAAGAGUGAAACUAAACUGAAAGUUUUUCAUUAAAUAGACAAAAGUCACUAGUAAGUUAUAGGAAAUACUUAUGUCAAUAAAGAAAAGGAAGAUAGACCUAUCAGACUCAUGAAAAGUAUAAAAUCACUUCAUGUUUAUAU